UACGUAGGGAGCAAGCGUUGUUCGGAUUUACUGGGCGUAAAGGGCGCGUAGGCGGCAUAUUAAGUCAUCUGUGAAAUCUCCGAGCUUAACUCGGAACUGUCAGCUGAUACUGAUGUGCUAGAGUGCGGAAGGGGCAAUCGGAAUUCUUGGUGUAGCGGUGAAAUGCGUAGAUAUCAAGAGGAACACCUGAGGUGAAGACGGGUUGCUGGGCCGACACUGACGCUGAGUGCGCGAAAGCAUGGGGAGCGAACAGG
rnacentral:rRNA from 1 species